rnacentral:rRNA from 1 species
UACGUAGGUGGCAAGCGUUGUCCGGAUUUAUUGGGUUUAAAGGGUGCGUAGGAGGGCAGGUAAGUCAGUGGUGAAAUCCUAGAGCUUAACUCUAGAACUGCCGUUGAUACUAUCUGUCUUGAAUAUUGUGGAGGUGAGCGGAAUAUGUCAUGUAGCGGUGAAAUGCUUAGAUAUGACAUAGAACACCAAUUGCGAAGGCAGCUCGCUACACAUAUAUUGACUCUGAGGCACGAAAGCGUGGGGAUCAAACAGG